UCCAGCUGAUCCUGCUGGAGGAUACUGCUAUCGAAAUCCGAUUUAGACAUGCAAGUCUGAAAGACGUAUAUGGCGUCUUUGGCGGACGGCUCAGUAACACGUGGGUAAUCUACCCUUGAGAUUGGUAAAUCCCGGGAAACUGGGGAUAAUGCCUAAUAGGCAAUUGGCACUGGAAUGUCCUUUUGCCCAAAGCUCUUGCACCAUGCAAGCAAGCGCUCAAGGAUGAGCCUGCGGUGGAUUAGGUAGUUGGCGGGGUAAAUGCCCACCAAGCCGUUGAUCCAUACGGGCCUUGAGAGAGGUAGCCCGGAGAAGGACACUGAGAUAAGGGUCCUAGCCCUACGGGGUGCAGCAGUCACGAAACCUUUACAAUGCACGAAAGUGUGAUAGGGGGAUUUCGAGUGCAAGCUUUGCUUGCUUUUGCCAAGUUCAAAAAGCUUGGCGAAUAAAUGGGGGGCAAGAUACGUGCCAGCCGCCGCGGUAACACGUACUCCAUGAGUGGUAUCCACUUUUAUUGGGCCUAAAACGUCCGUAGCUCGUUUGAAAAGUCUUUGGUGAAAGCAAGAAGCUUAACUUUUUGAAUGGCCAAAGAUACUAUCAGACUAGAGACCGGAAGAGGUUAGGGGAAUUUCAGGGGUAGCGGUAAAAUGCUAUAAUCCUUGAAAGACCACCAGUAGCGAAGGCGCCUAACCAGAACGGUUCUGACAGUGAGGGACGAAAGCUGGGGGAGCGACCAGGAUUAGAUACCCUGUUAGUCCCAGCCGUAAACGAUGUGGACUUGGUGUCCUAGCACCUAUGUGGUGCGGGGGUGCCGUAGGGAAGCCGUUAAGUCCACUGCCAGGGAAGUACGCUCGCAAGGGUGAAACUUAAUGGAAUUGGCGGGAGCUCACUACAAGGGGUGGAUGCUGCGGUUCAAUUAGAUAAAACCCCAGAUAAUCUUACCAGGGCCGACAGCCGAAUGAUGGACAGUCUGAAGGGCUUUCCUGACACGCUGAGAGGUGUUGUAUGGUCAUCGUCAGCUCGUACUAUGAAGCGUCCUGUUAACUCAGGUAACGGGCGAGACCCACGUCCAUAGUUGCUAUUCUUCAAUUUGGAGGAGCACUCUAUGGAGACUGCAAUGGUAACAUUGAGGAAGGAGUGGGCUACGGUAGAUCUGUAUGGCCCGAAUGCCCUGGGCAACACGCGGCAUACAAUGGCUGAGACAAUGAGUUUCAAACCCGAAAGGGCAAGGUAAUCCCCUAAAAUCAGCCUCAGUUCGGAUUGAGGGUUGUAACUCACCCUCAUGAAAUUGGAAUCCCCAGUAAUCGCGUUUCAUUAAAACGCGGUGAAUAAGUCCCUGAGCUUUGCACACACCGCCCAUCAAGCCAGUUGAGUAAGGUUUAGAUGAGCUGUUUUCAUUCGAAAACCGCGAUUCUGAGCUUCGCGAGACGGGCUAAGUUGUAACAAGGUG
rnacentral:rRNA from 1 species